CCCGGGUCAUCGCUAAAAUCGUGGUGAGUUUCGCAGUUCAAACGAGGGACGGCGGAUGAUUUCAUCUAUCUUUGGUUUCGAAGGGAUUAUCCUCCACCCCCACUCGCAUCGCCUGUCAGGAGUGUUCUCUUCGCCACAAAUUAAAAGAGGCACCGCGCCAACGAUUACUUCACACGUCAUUCGAUUUGACAUUCGAUUUGAUGGCAUCUGUCGCUGACAA
rnacentral:sRNA from 1 species